GGGCUCGUGGUUUAGUGGUAUAAUACUCCUCAAGUAUCUUUAUCUUGGAGUGGUCCGGGGUUCGAUUCCCCGCGAGUCCA